rnacentral:lncRNA from 1 species
GGGACUUUUUUUGUGUAUUUGUUUUAUAUUUAUAUUGUUAAUGUGUGUGGAGAUCUUAUAUCUCUGUAAUAAAUCUUCACUCCAUGUUCAUAUCAUCAAAAAUUAACUCACCCAUCCAGUAUAAGACUGUCAGAAUAUGGUGGAUUCAUCAUUACUUAUUUGAUAUAAUUUUCAUGGAUUUUCUUUGAUAAAGGUGAACCACCAAUUUCUUUUAAAUCAUGUUCAACGAAGUUCAUAUUUCCUAAACACUUGAAAGCAGACUUAAACAAAAACCACUAAAAUACCAUUUUCCCCAAUCCACCAAAUAUUUGUACCCAUGAAAAAUGAAUGAAUCCACAGUGCAUCAGUGUAAUAUUUAUACUGCCAGCUAACAAAUUUAUUUUUGUAUGUGUUAUUUGUUAAUAUAGGGUUAUUGCAUGAAUAUUGGGGAAUAUUGUCCCGAGUAGAAUUUUAUAUUGCACGAGCUUGCGAGUUCAAUAUAUGUUCUACGAGGGACAAUAGUCACUAAUAUUCAUGCAAUAACCCUUAUAUUGUAUAGCAAUAUAAUAUUUGAAUGUAAAAAUUGGUUUAAACUAAGAUUUUGUUAUUGAUGACGUCAUGAAUUUUGAAGAUUUAUUGCAUGCUAACUUCUGGUUACUUUCUGUGGGAAAUAUUAUAUUGCUAUGCAAUAAUAAAGAAUUUCUUCUUUUCUCUGAAUAUCACCAAGGUUGACAGCUUUCAAUUUUCUCUGACAUGAAAAACACCAUCGUUAGUUUUAUUAUCAUGUAUGAUAUAAAAUGUGUAUGUCUGAAGAAUGUUUUUUUUUUAAACAAUGUGACCGCUGAAAAAAUAGCCACCUACCAAACACCACCAAAUGAGGAUAUUUUGUAAAGAGACGAUCCAAUAUUGCCAAUUCUUAUAUGCAUGAUAUUUGAGUCUUUCAUAAUAUAUCCGAUUUUCGCUGAAUGUUUUUGACGUUUUAUAAAAUGUAUAUAUUUUCACUAAUUGUCCAAUCUUUUAUUUUAUUCUCUUUUUCUAUGUUCACAAUUUUUAUUUUUCUUAUUUAAAUUGGUAAAAUACUCACAAUUCACAGAUAUAUGGCAUACAAAGUUACAUAAGACUUCUAUUAGACUACAAGUUAUUUGACAUCCUUAAAGUACAUUAUAGAUGUUUAUACUAAUUUUAUACUGCAGACUCUGGAAAGGGACCAUAUAACAAUCACCUUGUCCCUUCUCAAAGUAGAAAUGUAAGAAGAUUAAACUUAUACAAUGGAAAGUUUUCUAGGGGAAAAAUGAUGUCCAAAAAGGGUUAGGUUAUACAAGUUUGGAAAUUUGCAUUUCAUCUAAAAUUUUGAAUAUGGAAGGUUUUUUUUUAUUCCAGCAAUUUGAAAAUGAAGGAAAUAUUUUAAGGUUCAAAAGGCAUCAAAACAAAUUAACAAUAUUGAUUUACAACGAAAAGUCUUACUGUAAUCAGUGUAAAGGGGGAAAGGGUGUGUGGAUGGGAGUCCUGAGUUGAGAGGAAAUGGUUGCAAUUGCCUGUAAUGUUAAAAUUGUCUUCAUAGUGUGGAAUUUUGUUUUUGACGAUUUUAUGCCCAGAAAAAGGUAUUUCUACUCUCCCACCCGAAUCCAUCAAUGAUGUAUUUUAUAACAUUAAUAAAUCCUUGGGUUAACAACUGUUUUAAAAAUUCAAAGUAGCUUUUUACAAAAGUGUAGUUAUUUUCAUCUUAUUCUUAACAUUCUUGUAUCAUGACAAACUGUACUAUUAUGUAGUUUUGUGAUUGAAUUUUAAUUUGUUUUUUGUUGCAGCUAAUUGUUAUCAAUAAAACUGUGUGCCACUAGGAGAUUUGUUAAAUUGGUGUU